UCUCACUCAAGUUCAGACGGU
rnacentral:piRNA from 1 species